UCCCUGGUAGCUCAGAUGGUAAAGAAUCUGCCUGCAAUGCAGGAGACCUGGGUUCGAUCCCUGGGUUGGGAA
rfam:Ovis aries breed Texel chromosome 6, whole genome shotgun sequence.